rnacentral:rRNA from 1 species
CUACGGGGGGCUGCAGUGGGGAAUAUUGCACAAUGGGCGCAAGCCUGAUGCAGCAACGCCGCGUGGGGGACGAAGGCCUUCGGGUUGUAAACCUCUUUUAGUAGGGAAGAAGCGCAAGUGACGGUACCUACAGAAAAAGCACCGGCUAACUACGUGCCAGCAGCCGCGGUAAUACGUAGGGUGCAAGCGUUGUCCGGAAUUAUUGGGCGUAAAGAGCUCGUAGGCGGGUUGUCGCGCCUGCUGUGAAAAUCCGAGGCUCAACCUCGGACCUGCAGUGGGUACGGGCAAACUAGAGUGCGGUAGGGGAGAUUGGAAUUCCUGGUGUAGCGGUGGAAUGCGCAGAUAUCAGGAGGAACACCAAUGGCGAAGGCAGAUCUCUGGGCCGUAACUGACGCUGAGGAGCGAAAGCGUGGGGAGCGAACAGGAUUAGAUACCCCCGUAGUC